UUAAACCCCUCAUCAUCGCGUUUCACUCUCCUCUACCUCACUUCGCGUCUCAGCCUCUCUCUCAGAUCGCGAUUCCUUGACUCCAUGGCUUGAACCUCUCUCAGCGAUGGCGAACUCCAUGGCUUGAACCUCUCUCAGCGAUGGCGAACUCCAUGGCUUGAAGGAAUUAGGGCUCGAAUUUAUCUUGUUUUGGUAAAAUCGAGUGGUUUCCUGGGUUUGGUUUCUUCGAUUUCUUCCACUGUGCACGCUCUGCUUCAGAUCCAAACAAGCUUCAUUGUUUUUAGUUUGCGUUUGGCUUGGCCGUGCUGCUGGUGUCUCAUAUUAUGCUCAAUAUUAUGGUUCUAUCUCCAGAAAAGCUAUUAUUAUAGGCCACGUAUUGAUGUCAUAUACAAAGUGUUGGUGUAUACCUAUUCAUGUAAAGCCAAGGGACCUAUAUGACAUGGGUGGGGAAGAUGAGGAGAUCAUGGCGUCUAAUGAGACCUAUCCAUCACAAGAUUUGGAGCAAUUAUUUCCUGAUGAUGAUACUGAGAAUAUACAAUUGGCUAGAGAUGUUAUGGAUGAUGAUCCUUCAACUUGAUGCCUAUGAACAUGAUCUGACUUGUAUUUAAUUUCAGUUGUUAAUGUAAUUCAGUUCCAUUUGAUGUCUAUGAACAUGAUCUGACUUGUUUUAUGUGAAUGUUGACUCUUGCUUGAGUUUUAAUGUAAUUCAUACUCUUGCUUGUUUCA